AACAGCCGCUCCGAUUGGCUGAGACACAUUUCUACAGUGUUGGCGUUCCUUCGCAACGUUCUUGCUAGACAACAAUGCAGAGUGCAGGAGAUCAAUUCAUGUCAUGCCAAAUUGCUGAACGUCUAAGCAGUCAAGGGACUUUUGAGGAAAGCUGUCUUCUUCCAUCUCCUCAGAUGCAAGACCAUUCUCCUCUCAGCCGAAGUGCAAGUAACAGACCAUUUAUCAGAGUGAAGGAUGCUCUCAGGGGAAAGUAGACAACAGUACACUGAGCGUGGCCUGAGUGACAGCCCAACCAAUAGAGAUUGAUUUUAAUGAAGCCUGGAAUAAACAGUGAGAUUAAGAGGUUGCGUAGUGGGCUGACAAGAUUUUACUUCACCUUCCUGUAGAAAAUUGGAGCCAGGCUGACCAGCUGAUGCCUGUCUCUGCUUUAUGAAUGUGUUUAGCUUUCACUCUUCAGUGAUUGGCUACAUUUGUGCAAAG